GCCCCCGUAGCUCAGGUGGAUAGAGCACCUGUUUCCUAAACAGGUGGCCGCCCGUUCGAGUCGGGCCGGGGGCGCCA
rnacentral:tRNA from 1 species